AAAACAGAAAAAAAACAAAAGCAAAACAAGGAAAUGGAAGUAGAGAGAGUAUUUUUUACAAAUAUCUAUCUAUUUUAAGGAAAGCAUUAUUAUUUUGACGGUAUCACAUGGUCGAUCCUUCUUUUGUUUCUCGGAUCAGCUGAGGUGGGUUCUUUUUUUUCUGCGAGAGUAGAGACUCUUGUGCGAGAAGGAAGGAAGGAAUGAUUGAAGGAAAAGCCACAUGGAUAAAUUAUAGCAGUAAAAUCCAUCACUAUAAUAGCAAUGAAUCAAAA
rnacentral:ribozyme from 1 species